CGUGACAAACAUUCUUGUAACGACCGUGACCCGAUAAUCCGGUUUUAAUAAAUAAUGGUUUGGUUUAGUUUUAAUUAUUUCUUGAACAAAACCCUUAGUAAACCAAUUAUUUUACCUAACUAUAUAAUUGUCUUAUUCUUCCUAAACGUGAGCCGCCAGCACUCUUCUCCACACCACCUUCUUCUUCUUCUUCCUAAUUCAUGAUCUCCAUGUUCCCUUCUCUCCAUUUUAUUCUUCUCUUGAUGUUGAUAUUGAUGUUGAGCAAAGGAUGGAAUCAUUGCCUCGAGGUCACUGUCUUGCUUGUCGUCCUAGCCACCUCGUCACGUCGGACACACAACCGUGACUUUGGUGCCACCGUCCCAUCACCACCUCUUGACGUUGGGUUGUUGCAGCCCACCGGAGAGACAUGCCGUCAUUGACUUAGUCGCCGCAAGUCACCGCCGUCAAGACCCGUGCAAGUAAAUCAUGAUCUCAUCACUUGCUUGCCCACCAAGUUUCUUAAGUUUGAUUGUUCACUUGUACCAAUUUCUGAGCCAACGUCAUGAGCCGUGAACCCAUGCGUAAAGGUUUAAGUGACUUUGUUUAUUUCUUGAGCAGGAAGUUACUGUAAACCCUAGCCCUAACUGUCUCUUUUUGUUUAUUUUUCCGAUCGUUUCCUUUAUGCGCUAAGGUGAAGCCGGUCUAAGCCUUUCCAAUCAUUGGUUUCUUUUAUGUUUCCGGUUCUCCGAUAUUGGCUAAGGUGAGACCGACGGGCAGGAGUGAUUACUAUCGGAUUGGUGCUUUGGGAGUUUUAUUUCUUUCUUUUUCAAACUUGCGGAUUUUAUGUUUUUAUCGAUAUUCUCAAGAUUUAUUAUGUUAUUUGGAUUUAUGGCUAUUUAUUGGAUUUACGACUUUGGAGUUGAACUUUUGAGAAGUAAUAAAUGGAGAUUUCAGAAUUUUAUUUGUUUAUUUUAUUUUGGAAAAUACGGGUGUUACAAUUUGGUAUCAGAGCGGGGUUCCGUCCCGGCUCUGACCCGGGAUGGCGAUUUAUGGGACUCGGAUUUCAACAAUUUUCAAUGUUUUGGGAUUGAGAGUUAAAAAAAAAAAAAAAAAAGGUGACACCCUUUUGUCCAGUAUCAUUUGGUUAGUUGUUAGCGUUACUAACUCUUUUAUUUUUGCAAGAGAAUACCAAGUUUCAAUUUGUUUUGUUGUUUGCUUUAUCUUGUGUUCUUCUUUCUUUCAUAGCCGUUGAAGUUCUUUCCCGGUUCUUCAAGGAAUUCGGGGCGAAUUCCGGUUAAGUGGGGAAGAAUUGUAACGACCGUGACCCGAUAAUCCGGUUUUAAUAAAUAAUGGUUUGGUUUAGUUUUAAUUAUUUCUUGAACAAAACUCUUAGUAAACCAAUUAUUUUACCUAACUAUAUAAUUGUCUUAUUCUUCCUAAACGUGAGCCGCCAGCACUCUUCUCCACACCACCUUCUUCUUCUUCUUCCUAAUUCAUGAUCUCCAUGUUCCCUUCUCUCCAUUUUAUUCUUCUCUUGAUGUUGAUAUUGAUGUUGAUCAAAGGAUGGAAUCAUUGCCUCGAGGUCACUGUCUUGCUUGUCGUCCUAGCCACCUCGUCACGUCGGACACACAACCGUGACUUUGGUGCCACCGUCCCAUCACCACCUCUUGACGUUGGGUUGUUGCAGCCCACCGGAGAGACAUGCCGUCAUUGACUUAGUCGCCGCAAGUCACCGCCGUCAAGACCCGUGCAAGUAAAUCAUGAUCUCAUCACUUGCUUGCCCACCAAGUUUCUUAAGUUUGAUUGUUCACUUGUACCAAUUUCUGAGCCAACGUCAUGAGCCGUGAACCCAUGCGUAAAGGUUUAAGUGACUUUGUUUAUUUCUUGAGCAGGAAGUUACUGUAAACCCUAGCCCUAACUGUCUCUUUUUGUUUAUUUUUCCGAUCGUUUCCUUUAUGCGCUAAGGUGAAGCCGGUCUAAGCCUUUCCAAUCAUUGGUUUCUUUUAUGUUUCCGGUUCUCCGAUAUUGGCUAAGGUGAGACCGACGGGCAGGAGUGAUUACUAUCGGAUUGGUGCUUUGGGAGUUUUAUUUCUUUCUUUUUCAAACUUGCGGAUUUUAUGUUUUUAUCGAUAUUCUCGAGAUUUAUUAUGUUAUUUGGAUUUAUGGCUAUUUAUUGGAUUUACGACUUUGGA